rnacentral:rRNA from 1 species
UACAGAGGUCUCAAGCGUUGUUCGGAUUCAUUGGGCGUAAAGGGGUGCGUAGGCGGCGCGGUAAGUCGGGUGUGAAAUUUCGAGGCUUAACUUCGAAACUGCAUUCGAUACUGCCGUGCUUGAGGACUGGAGAGGAGACUGGAAUUUACGGUGUAGCGGUGAAAUGCGUAGAUAUCGUAAGGAAGACCAGUGGCGAAGGCGGGUCUCUGGACAGUUCCUGACGCUGAGGCACGAAGGCCAGGGGAGCAAACGGG